rnacentral:rRNA from 1 species
AUUGAACGCUGGCGGCAUGCCUUACACAUGCAAGUCGAACGGCAGCACGGGUGCUUGCACCUGGUGGCGAGUGGCGAACGGGUGAGUAAUACAUCGGAACAUGUCCUGUAGUGGGGGAUACCCCGGCGAAAGCCGGAUUAAUACCGCAUACGAUCUACGGAUGAAAGCGGGGGACCUUCGGGCCUCGCGCUAUAGGGUUGGCCGAUGGCUGAUUAGCUAGUUGGUGGGGUAAAGGCCUACCAAGGCGACGAUCAGUAGCUGGUCUGAGAGGACGACCAGCCACACUGGGACUGAGACACGGCCCAGACUCCUACGGGAGGCAGCAGUGGGGAAUUUUGGACAAUGGGCGAAAGCCUGAUCCAGCAAUGCCGCGUGUGUGAAGAAGGCCUUCGGGUUGUAAAGCACUUUUGUCCGGAAAGAAAUCCUUGGCCCUAAUACGGUCGGGGGAUGACGGUACCGGAAGAAUAAGCACCGGCUAACUACGUG